rnacentral:lncRNA from 1 species
AUUUUUUGUAUUUUUUUUUUUCAAUUGAUAACAAAAAUUUUAAAAUAUAUUUAAAUUAUUUUAUAUAAAAUAAAAAAUAUUCUAUGUGCUUUUUUUUUUAUUGAGAGAAAGGUAACAUGUUAGCUGUUUUAUUUUUUUUUUAAUAAAUAAAUUUAAUUGAAAAUGAGGCAGAGAGCGGAGGAUCUGCUGACGACGGAGAGAGAGAAAAAAAAAAAAGUCGGAGAGAGAUGGGGUGGAGGAUCUGUCAGACGAAGGUGGAAGGCAAAUAAGAGAUGGGCGGAGAAGAAACACAUGAAAAAGAAGUGAAAGGAGAAGAAAGAGGAGGAAGAGGAGAAACAACGUAAUUUUUACCCAAAAAGUACAACUUUUGUUCAAAGAGUACAACUUUCGUCCAAAAAAGUAUAAUUUUUUUUUUAUUAAAGAGUGCAAGUUUUUUUUUUAAAAUAGUACAAUAUUUUUCUGAAAUAGUGCAACGUUUCCUUAAAACAUUGCAACUUCAUCAUUCUUUUCUUUUUUCUCUAAUUCUUCAUUUUUAUUGUAGAAAAAAAGUAUUUUUCUUUAUGUUUUAUUCAUUAUUCUUUAUAUUUUUUACUUUCUGUAUUUUUUUCCCCUCGCUUCCCCUCUCACCCGUACAAAAAAGUAUUUUUCUUUAUGUUUUAUUCUUUAUUCUUUAUAUUUUUUUACUUUCUGUAUUUUUUUCCCCUCGGUUCCCCUCUCACCCGUACUUGCUUCGAGUUCUCCUUCUUCGACCCGGUGUCGGUGCGGGCGCCGGCGAAGGCGGAGGAAAAGGAUGCGGCGCUCUCCUCGUUACUAUGGUGGAGGGUCGCGGAGGCGACAGAGAUGCGUCAAAGAGAAAAAAAAAAGAACUAAAGAAAAAAGAAGAGGAAGAGGAUGUGGCGUUAUCCUCUUUACUAUUGUAAAAGAAGCGGGGAGACGGUGAAGGGAGGUCGGAGAAAAACAAAAGAGAGUCGUGGCGCUCGAUGGUGUCGGAGGCUAGGAAGGUGGAGGGAGAGUGUGCAGGCGAGGGCGAAGGCGAGCGGGACAGAGGCGAGGCGGGCCGCUUCCGCUCCCACUACCUUCUUCUGAGAGAAAGAAGAAAAAAAACGAGAGAAAAAAAAGAAAGAGAAAAGAAGAAAAAAGGGGUAUUUUGGUUAGUUUUCUGAAAAUUCGGCUCGAAAAUGCAAAAUCGAAAAUAGUGGCCUACUUUUGCAAAAACUAAAAACUAGUAGAUUUUACCGACCGUCCCUAGGGCAUUUGUGGUUGCCCGUAAGUGAAACAAUAAAAGUGGUAUUUUGGCAAAGUAAAAUUAUUUCGAUUGUUUGGAUUAUAAGUGACUUUUGAAAAGUGAACCCAUGAAGUGGAUUAUAACUAAAAUUUACUUUUUUGACUUCGGCAAAAAAAUUUUGAAGUCGUUGAAAGUGGGCCGCCUACUCCACGCGACUUAGGAACCGCAUCCAAAAAUCUUCUUCCAUACAUAUACAAAAAAAAAAAAAACCCACCGUAUCUUUACAAAAAAAAUACCAACACAUCUUAAAAAAAAAAAACAAAGAAAGAUACGUGCCUUAUUCCAUACCAUUUACAAAAAAAAGAAAAAGAAAAAAAAAACUACGCAUCUAAAAAAAAUCAUUUUCUUUUUUUCAUUUUGUAUAUAAAACCAAACAAUAGAAGUCAUAAAAACUGUAUUUUUUUCUUUCACUUUUUUGAAACCAAAUACUUAAACUCAAAAAUGACUUUUAUAAAAGUCACUUUUUGAAAAAUGACUUUUUUUUUACUUCGAUCACUUAUGGACAAUCAAACAUGCCCUUAGAGCAAGUGGCAAAAGGCUUGGUAGUUGAUACCCGAGGUCCCAAAUUCGAAUUCUAGUUGAUUCAUAUUUUCUAAGUUUAUUUCAAAAUGGAAUAAACGAAGCGGGUAGCAUGCUACCUAUCUGUCUCAAAAGAAAAACUAGUGGAUUUUUUAUGCAAAUUGGCCUUCUUUUUAUCAGUAGCAUGCUAGCUAUUUUUUUAAAAUGAUAAAUUUAAUUAAAAAUAUAAAUUAAUUAUGCUUGAAACUUGAGAUGUCAGAUACCAACAAGUGCACUAGAGACGGACAAUAUAGAAAGUACAUUUUACAUCAUAUUAUCUAAAGAUUUAAGUUUUUAAUAAAAUUUAUAUUAAAAAAUAAUUAAGAAGAUAAAUAAACAAAUGUGAACCUUUGACAUACUAGGAUGUAAGAUUAACACCUCAAUUAUACGCGUGUAGAUAAUAUUGCGCUAAUAAAAUAUAUGCUAGUGCUAGUAUAACAUUAAAAUUUAUGGAGGAUUUCUUACAUCCAAUAUAUGUCCAGGUAAAAAAAAUUAUAUAUACAUCAGUAGCAACAAAAAACUUCUUUAAAAAAAAUUUGAGUAAUUUCAUAAUUUCGAGAAAUUUCGUAAAACUACAUUAUUAUUCAAUGUAUAUUAAAAAAACAAAUUAGUAAGUUGGAAAUAAUAUCUAAAGUUUAACUAAGAAUGUCGUUUCUUCCUCCUGGCCCACCUUCUCCUUGUCUAAUGCCGGCUCGUCCUUGAACAAAUAACCUCCUCCACCUUGUCUAAUGUCAGCUCAUCCUUGAACAAAUACUUAAAAAUUAGUGUUCAAUAUGCAAAAAUAUAGAUAAAUAAAUAAAUUAAUCCAUAUGCAAAUAAAUCGAACAAAUAUUAUAUAUGAAUCAACCAAAUAAAUAAAAUUAAUUGUCCAAUUCAUACGGCCUAAAUUAUGAUGAAUUUUUUCUACCCGCUUCAUUUAUUUUGUUCUUAAGAAAUAAACUUAGUGAGAAAUUUGAACCAACUAUGAUUUGAACUUGAGAUCUCGGAUAUUAAUUAUUAAAUUUUUUGCCACUUGCUAGGGAUGGACGGUCAUUACGAUGAAAAUUAAACUUGAAUGAAUGCUUAAGUAUGGUUGAUAGGCCAUCUCCCUCACAGGAAAAGAGUACACGCAGACAUGGCAAGCCCAAGCCCAAGCGGAAGUUGGUCCGGAACCGGCCGAAUACUUUUCAGAUCAAGGCCCCAGAAUCAAAUCUGCUUUGUACUUCAUCUGUUGCAAUUUAGUCUAUAAUUUUUGGCAAACUCUAGAGUGGUACAUGGAGCAUAUAUAAAAACCUGCAAGGAAUUUAUACAGUUUAUAGUGGAAUUUACAGAAGCUUGUUCCCCAAGGACUUUUUUAUAAAAUGACCCUCCAAAAUUUUAAAUUUUAAAAAUAACUUUGUCAAAAUUUUAUUUGGAAAAGUGACUCUCCUUUUGCCACGAGGACGCAACGUCGGACUUUUACUAUUCACGGUCUUCAUUAUAUAUAUGUAAAGGUGGUGAAUGAUUCACCGCCUUUAGUACAAAAUAUUCCAAACCCAUCGAAAUUUGUCUAAGCCCUAGAGUGAAACAUAGAUAAGUUGGUGGGUUUCAAAAAAUUUGCAUUAAAGACGGUGAAUGAUUCACUGUCUUCAUAAUACAUAUGUGAAGGCGGUGAAUGAUUCACCGCCUUCAUAAUAAAAUUCUGACGUGGCGAAAGGAGGAUUACUUUUCCAAAUAAAAUUUUGAAAUGAUCACUUUCCAAAUUUCAAAAUUUUGGAGAAUCAUUUUAUAAAAAAGUCCGUUCCCCAAUGUCAUCUUCCAUCUUCCUUCUCUCUCUUUCUCUCUCUCUCUCUUUCUCUCUCUUCUCCCUAAUUCUCUCUCAGUUCUCCCGAGUUCUCCCAAUCUAUUUUUUGAGUAUAAUCCAAUUUAAUCACCGAUCGCUCUCAUCGUUGUCCCAACCUCAUCUUCAUCACUGGUGGGUGGCGACUCAUCCAGUUCAUAAAAUCGUAGUACAGGAAACAAGCGAAAAGAAAAGAUCAAAUUAGAAAAUUUACCCAAAAGCAUCAUAAAACCCAGGACUUCUCAAGAAGUAACAUAAAACCCCACCGUAGUAAUGCUUCUAACGAAAGGUACCUAAUCAGGAUAAAGAGAAUGUAGGUAAUGUUUGUGUAACGCCCCAACAUCCCUACGUCGGAUAUAAAAAUAAUUCUAAUUAGAAUAUAUGAGGCCUCAAACACGUUAGUAAUAAUAACCGAGUUUAAACAUUUUGGGCCGGUUGUGUGGGUCCAACGAAUUGUUAUAGAAGUCUGCGAGGACGUGAGGGUGUCCCACAUCGGAUGGAAAAAUUUAUUAUACCUAGUAGGGUUAGGUCAUUACAAUUAUAUAUGAGAAUUAAUUUGAUUCUAGUUGAAAUUCAAUUGCUAGCUUCAUCUUUUGAUUCUUGAAUUUAGUGAAAACUUUUGUAAUUAUUAUUUUGCCUAUUUUCUCUGUCAUUCUCGCUAGCAAUAAUAAAUCGUUGAGCUUAAAUCACUGACCCAAAAUACUUAAACCUAAUUAUUAUUACUAGCAUACAAGGCUUCAUAUAAUCCAAUCAGAAUUAUUACUUGAUUAUUAUUACUAGCAUGUAAGACUUCAUAAUAUAAUUCAAUCAGAAUUAUUUUUUCACCCGAUGUGAGACUAUUGAGGCAUUACAUUUAGUAUAUAUUCUGAAAUAAAAUUAAAAUAAUUAAUAAAUUCAAAAUAUUUCAUAAUUGAAAAUUUAUCUGUCUUACUUUUCAAUAUAAUAUCUUGCUUCUAGAGAAUUCUAUAUCUCUCUUAGUGAUUAGAUCAAUGUAAAUAAGUUAUAUAAAUUAUCUCACAAAGUAUUGAGACCAUAAUUUACUUGAUCUCCGCUUAUAUUCCUUCUGUAGAGAGAGAGCGAGUCGAACGGAGGAAGUGAGAGAAGUCCGAGAAGGAGGAAGAGUGAGAUCACAGUGGAGACACGUUGAGGAAGACCAGAGUUUGGAUUGCAGAAGAGGGAUAAGCUAUUAUGAAAGUCGAAUCGGACUAUUGGGGUUUCCUGGUUUAGCAGGAUCGAACUAGGAUCUCUCCGCUUAAACUUUUUUUUUAUUUUGAAAAAUUCGAAACUUAAACCGAACCAAACCGGAACCUAACCUGCUCUUCCAAGAAACCGAAAAUGUUUUGCUUCCGUUCAAGAUAAUCGGUGUUUUUUUUUUGGCUCAAGUGAGAGUUUUACAUUGGCUUAAUUACACUAUGCUACUACCAAAUUACCUGUGACACACGAAUUUUAAAUUUUUUUAUGCUAUUAAUUUAUACUAGUGUAGUGACCCGCGCAAUGCGGCGGGUAGAUAUUAAUAUAGUCAAUUAUAUAUGCUUAUCCUUCUCCUUUUAAAGAACCACUAAAAAAAAAAUUGGUUGAAGUAGACCGGAUUAAAGAGGAAAAAAUCCGGUUCAACAGGAAAAAAGGGAUUAGGAAUAACUGAUAGAUGGAUCCUAUAGAUUAGGGUAAAUACGGCACGUGGCAAGAGGUAAUGGGGAUUAAUAGAGUUUAAUAGAUAAGAUUCUAUAAAAUUAAUAUAUUUUUUGCCCCUUAAAAAUAUAUAAUUUUUUUAUUAUUUUUCAAGUUUGUUAGCUGGCAUUAACUUUUAAAAGAAAACUAUCACAAAAAAGAAGUAUUUCGAAUUGCAUUUCUUAUGAAUCUUAGAUGAAAAGUAAAAAACAGUGAUAAAAGAAAAAAAAAUACUCUAAGAAAAAAUGAUUUUUUUGGAGUGAAUUUACAAAAUAAAGUUAGUUCGGAAAAUAAAAGAAAACUCAAGAGAAAAGAGUAAACUUAUACAUAUCUUUAGUUUUAUCUAAUUGAUCAAUUUCUAAGCAAAAAAAUGAAUAUAUAAGAAGAGAAAAAAAUUAAAAUUAAAAAACUAAAAAUAAAAGUAGAAUAUAAAAUGUAGGCCGUAUAAAACGGAACAACGAUAAAAGAAAAAAGGUGAAGCAUCCAAAAAUAAUAAUUCAGAAAUUAAUAAGAAAACUUUAUGGCCCUAUUUGGCAACAAGAUGAAGAUAGAAUACGGUUUUUUAUUCUUCAAAAUAUGCCAACCUGUGUAAAAAUUGACAGGACUAAAUAAUCACGAUCAAAGCGGGUAAUCCAUGCUAGUUCUAGAAUUACCCGUUAAGCACUAUUCUCCAACACCCCUAGAAUUGGCGUGUUCUGCAAUUUAUUCCAAGGGCAUCUAUUGGAAAUUAGUGCCUCGCAUCAUGCGCUUGCCUAUUUCAUACUUAUCGCCUCCCUAAAAUGGCUCUUCAUCUCUCGCUCCCUCUUUACUGCCUGAACACGUCUUCAUCUCUCUCCUUCCUCUUUACUACAACUUGCUACCUAACCCUAAUAACAGAGAGAGAAGGUUCGUCUCUGUCUUCUUUUCCCGCCCUCUCUUUCUUUCCUUUUUCUUUAAUCUAUUUUACUCCCUAACCCUAACCUAUCUAGAAAUCUUGGUCACUCCCUUCCAUUUACUCCACCUCCGUUGCUAUAUCGACUUCUCUUCCCUAGGAAGCAAGUGCUUUCUCUUUCCUUUUUAUCCUAGCUCCUUGCUUCGACUUCACGUCUUUCCUAGGUUGUAUCUUCAUCAUCGAUCAUAUUUACUCUAUAUUUUAUCAACUGCAAUUGCGUGAUCAUCGUGUGUGUCUAAAAACCUCCAUUAAAUGAGGAGGAAUUGUAUUUGGAGAUCUUCUUGAGUCUCCAUUUUACGUACCAAAUAUGAAGAACAAUUCGUGUUGCAGAUCGUUCAGUAAUCAAGGAGAUCCCCCUUGAUAAGAGAGCAGUAAUUGUUGGCUCUGGAGGAAAAGUAUUUAACUAUAUAGAGAAUAAGUAAAGGAGGCUAUAAUAAACAAGAGAAAAGAGUCUUAAUCAUAUAAAAAUUAUAUAAUCGUGAUUGGAUUUCAAUUGAUCUUAUGAUUACAAUGAAGGAGAAAAACUCCUUUUAUAGCCUUCAAUUGUGAGAGUUUUAGAUCUAAAUUUUCAUAACUUACAAUUAAUAGCUUUAAGAGUUUCUUAUUCAAUAUGUAACUCUAAAAAUUACUAAUUCCAUAUAUGAUAAUUUAUUCUUGAGAAAGUGCAUUAACUUCCAACACUCCCCCUUAAUGCACUUUCUUCACAACUCCAAUUAGCUCACGCAUGUAGAAAAACUUUUCUCUAGUCAAAGCUUUGGUGAAGAUAUCCGCCAAUUGCUCUGUAGUUUUGCAGUACUUCAAUUUAAUUUGUCCGUUUUCAAUAGCUUCUCUGAUGAAGUGGUAUUUGAUAGCUAUAUGUUUGGUUCCUUCAUGAUUAAUCGGAUUCUUCCCCAUUGCUAUGGCUGAUUUGCUAUCGCAAUACAAUGUAAUAGCUUCUUGCUUUUCACCAACAUCUUCAAGAAUUCUUCGCAACCAUAUCGCAUGUGAUGACGCCUUUGCUGCUGCGACAUAUUCGGCUUCGGCUGAUGAAAGCGCCACAAUUUUCUGUUUCUUCGAUGCCCAUGAGCAUAUACUAGAGCCAAAAAUGAAUGCAUAGCCAGAUGUACUCUUCAUGUCAUCAUGACAUCCAGCCCAGUCACUAUCGGUAUACCCGAUCAAUCUUGAAUCAUUCGUAACUUUGUAUAGUAUACCAUAAUCAAGCGUCCCCUGCAAAUAUCUCAAAACUCUUUUAGCAGUACCAAAAUGAAUUUGACUUGGGUUUUGCAUGUACCUGGAUAGUAAGUUUGCAGAAUACAUAAUAUCCGGUCUAGUAGCCGUUAGGUACAACAAACUACCAACAAGGCUUCUGUAUGUAGAGGCAUCUAUUUUUUCGGCUCCAUCAUCUUUCUUCAACUUCUCAUUUGGUACAAGUGGAAUAGCCACAGUUUUGCAUCCAUUCAUUUUAAAUUUCUUCAAAAUAUUCUCCGCAUAUUUUUUUGAGAGAUAAAUAUUCCAUGUUCAUCCUGCAAAACUUCAAUUCCCAAAAAAUAAUGUAGCAAUCCAAGAUCACUCAUCUCAUACAUUUUCAUCAUUUCCUUCUUGAAAUCUUCAAGCAUCUUCUUAUUAUUCCCCAUAAAUAUAAGAUCAUCGACAUAUAAUGAAAUUAUGAGUAUAUCCGAUCCUUCUAUUUUGGUAUACAAUGUAGCCUCACUUUUGCUCUUCUCAAAUCCUUUUUCCAAAAAAUAUUUAUCUAUUUGACUAUACCAAGCUCUUGGUGCUUGUUUAAGGCCAUACAAUGCCUUAUGUAAUUUAUAAACUUUAUUUUCUGCACCUUUUAUUAGAAAACCUUGAGGUUGUUCUAUAUAAAUAUCCUCAUCUAGAAUCCCGUUUAGAAAAGCUGAUUUCACGUCAAGUUGAUAAAUUUUCCAUUUCUUUUGUGCAGCUAGAGCAAUUAAUGUUCUUAUAGUUUCUAAUCUUGCAACUGGGGCAAAAGUUUCAAAAUAGUCGAUACCUGGCUUUUGUGUGAACCCUCUCGCAACGAGUCUAGCUUUAUACUUCUGGAUAGUACCAUCUGGGUUGAGCUUUGUUUUAUAAAUCCAUUUGACUCCAACAAUGUCUCUGUCUUUAGGACAAUCAACUAGUUCCCAUGUAUCGUUUUUCUCUAUCAUACGUAUCUCCUCUUGCAUAGCUUUUACCCAGACGCCAUACUUUUCUGCUUCUUCAAAAUUUUCUGGUUCUGUAACACAAAAAUUGCAUGAUUCAUAAAUAUCUCGUAAACUUCUUACCCUCCGUAUGCCAGAUCUUGGUGAAGAUGAUCCUUCACUUGAGUUUGAACUGGAGCUUGAGCUCGAACUUGAGCUUGAGCUAGGCGAUGUUUGUGGAGUUCUCGGUUGUUCUUCUUCUCCUCCUUGAACAUUCGAUGGUUCCGACUCUUCUAUGUUAACAAGUGGUAUUUUUUCGACCUUUUGCUUAAUCCAAUUCCAAGAAGAUUUUUCAUCAAAAACAACAUCUCGGCUAAUAAUUAAUUUUUUGCUUUCAAUGUCAUAGAGUCGAUAACCUUUGGUACUAUUACUAUAACCAACAAAUACGCAUUUUGCACUUUUAUCAUCAAAUUGUUUUCUUCUCUCUACAGGGAUAUGAGCAUAACACAUGCAUCCAAAAAUUUUUAAAUGGCUUACCGUGGGUUUUGUCCCUGUCCAAGCUUCAAGUGGUGUUUUAUUCUUUACUGCAUGUGUAGGGCAUCUAUUCUGAAUGUAAACAGCUGUAUUUACAGCUUCUGCCCAAAAUUCAUUAGGAAGCCCUUUCUCUUUAAGCAUCGAUCUUGCCAUCUCAACUAUUGUUCUAUUCUUUCUUUCGGCGAUGCCAUUUUGUUGUGGGCUAUAUGCUGCUGUUAAUUGCCUAUGGAUGCCUUCAUCUUCACAGAACUUGUCAAAAUUCUUUGAAGUGUAUUCACCUCCUCUGUCACUCCUCAAAAUUUUAAUAGCAUAUCCACUUUGUUUUUCAACAUAGACCUUGAACUUCUUGAAAACAUCAAAGGCUUCACUUUUUUCUUUAAGAAAAUAAACCCACGUCAUUCUAGUAUAAUCAUCAAUAAAAAUAAUAAAGUACCUAUUCUGGCUGAGUGAUGCCGUCUGCAUCUUCCCGCAUAUAUCUGUGUGAACAAGCUCCAACGGUGCCUUCGCUCUCCAUGCUCGAUCUUUAGGAAAGGAAGAGCGAUGUUGUUUUCCUAAAACACAUCCUUCACAAAUUUCGUUGUUUGGCAAAAGUUCGGGCAAACCAUAUACCAUUUUCUGUAGCAAUUUCAAUCCUUCAAAAUUGUAAUGGCCAAAUCUCUUAUGCCAUAACCAUGAUUCUUCCAUCACAUUAUUUUUUAAUGCAAGAUUUGUAGCAUAAUAAAAUUCAAUAGGAAAAUUUCUAUUUUCCUCCAUUUUGAUUUUUGCAAUCAUUUGAUUUUGAUUUUUCUUAUCAUAAAUCCUGCAUGCGUUAUCUUCAAAGUGCACACUGUAGCCAUUCUGGACUAAUUGUCCAACACUAAGCAAAUUUUGAGCUAGAUCAGGCACAAGUAAAACAUCUUUUAUAUACUUAACCCCUUUCUUCGUUUCAAUAGGUAUGGUGUCUUUUCCUUUUGCCUGCACCACUGCGCCAUUUCCCAUACGUACUUUUGACACCACAGUGGCAUCCAUGUCAAGGAAUAAUUUUUCGUUCCCAGAUAUAUGGUUAUUGCAGCCACUAUCAAGAUACCAGAUGCUCACUUUCUCUUCUGAAGCAGACUGGCAUGCAUAAAAUAAGUUUCCUUCAUCUUUGUUUUCUUCAAGAAAAUUUACUUGAUCAUUUCUUUUGAAUCUACAAUAUUUUUCUAUAUGGCCAUAUUUUUUGCAAUGAUGGCAUUGCGGCUUUCUACGAAGCCAACAAUUAGAAGUAACAUAAUUCGACUUCUUGCAUAUUCUGCAAAAUGGUUUGGGGUUUUCUAGAUUCAUACUUUUCUCCUGAUCUUUAUCUUCUUUCCUUUCUAUGCUUUGAUCUUCCUCUUUUCUCAAACCUCCUUUCCAUGAAUGCUUUCUUGAAUAAUUCUGUUGGGACCUAAAUGAUAAUUUCGAUUGGAAUGCACUUUCGACAGCUUGGUCAGAAUGCCGUAACUUUCUUUGUUCAUGUGAAAGAAGAGAACCCAUUAGUUCUUGAAUAAAUAAUGUAGAAAUAUCUUUAGCCUCUUCUAUAGCUGCAACAACAUAAUCAUAUUUUUCUGGCAAACUUAUUAAGAUUUUCUCAACUAUCUUUUGAUCGGAAAUAUCUUCGCCAUACGACUUCAUUUGGUUGACAAUCUGUAUAACUUUAGAAAAGUAAUCUUUCAUAGAAUCAUUUUCUUUCAUUUUUAGAUUUUCCAGUUCUCUUCUUAAAGACUGAAGUUUGAUACUUUUUACCUUUGCAUUUCCUUGAAACUCUUGUUGUAGGAUGUCCCAAGCUUGCUUUGCUGUAGUUGCUCUAAUAAUUCUCGAAAAUAAACUUUCUGCCACCCUUGUUGGAUAAGAUAUAAUGCCUUUAAUUUGCAUCCUUUGUCCGGUUACUGUUAAGCAUCUCCUUCUCAGCAUUUGUAAGUUGGCUCUCAUCUGGAGGUUCCGUAUAACCUCCUUCCACAAUACUCCAAAGUCCUUGUGCGAUGAGCAAUGUUCUCAUCUUAAUUUUCCAAAAUUCAUAAUUUUCUCCUCCAAAAAUUGGAAGAGCGGCUUGAGUAACUCCUUGGUUACUGCCUACAACAGAAGCCAUAUAUAACUUCCUUUUUACUUCAAAUUAUAGAACGCCCGACGUCGAAUCUAGGCUCUGAUACCAAUUUGUUGGCUCUGGAGGAAAAGUAUUUACCUAUAUAGAGAAUAAGUAAAGGAGGCUAUAAUAGACAAGAGAAAAGAGUCUUAAUCAUAUAAAAAUUAUAUAAUCGUGAUUGGAUUUCAAUUGAUCUUAUGAUUACAAUGAAGGAGAAGAACUCCUUUUAUAGCCUUCAAUUGUGAGAGUUUUAGAUCUAAAUUUUCAUAACUUACAAUUAAUAGCUUUAAGAGUUUCUUAUUCAAUAUGUAACUCUAAAAAUUGCUAACUCCAUAUAUGAUAAUUUAUUCUUGAGAAAGUGCAUUAACUUCCAACAGUAAUAAGUUUUUUCAGAGUUGGCAAUCUUUGGCAAUCUUCUUGUUGCCUCAACUUGUCAAGUCACAUCCUUUUACUCUGUUUAUCUCCUCAUUCUACUUGCACAGGUAAGUUAUGUUAUGUACUCUUUUAUAUAAGGAUACAGUAUGCUCGUUUGCAUACCCCUUGAGCCAAAAAACGCAUUUGAGAAAGUUUGCUGCCUUUGUACUCAAAUCGUAGUCCAGAAUAGCAGUUUUUCUUUUCCAUCUUGCAGAGGUGAGGUUUUCACAUACAAUUUCCACUCUAGCAUGAUGAUGUUUCAUGCAUUGGAUUUUUUUAGCAGUGAUGCAUGAUGGAUUUCGGAUGUGUUAAUGGCUUGGAGGCGUAGAUAUAUUUCUAUGCAGCUGCCAUAGUUAUACAUAUGACGACCCAAUCAUGCUGAGCUAUGUGGCUUAUGCCAUUUACAAAUUAUUUCAUGUCUAUUGCCACAGAUAGCAUAAAAUUGGAAAAGUUUGGUAACACAUGAAAUAUGCUAGGAAUGUGUAUAUCACCAAAUAUUUCUAUCUUUUCAUUCAAUGUGUCUGUAUAGAUUGAUCUAUAUAUAUCACAAAAUAUUUUUGGGAUUUGACUGAUUUCAUGAUUAAUAUUAAUUUCAUCUAAACUGGUGUUGUUUGAGAUGUAAAAUUCCUUGUUGCUUUUGGAAUCAUAUGAAACAAUCAACUGCGAUGAUGCACGGAAAAAGUGUUACAUGUUUAUGGUUGGGUGGUAAGUUUAAAUACAUGCAGCCACUAUGGAAUCGUGAUGCACUUCUUUCUUUCAGGAAAAAAUACCCUCUAACCUAUACUUUCUCCUAAUGUAUAUACUUGAUUUUUUCUUGAUAUAUAAUUUUGUUUACUUCAUAUGGCCGCACAAAAUAAGACGGCACAAUGUAUGAUAAGAAAAUACCCUAACUCCCUUGAUGUUGCCUCAAUCGACACCCAAAGCCUUGAAAUUUCAUGUCCAGAUACCUCAAAGACUAGAGUAUGCUUCGAAAAUUGGACUGAGGUUAUGGACUCAGCAAUGUUGAACUUGAUGACUGAGAAACAUGUUCUGAGUAAUUUCAUUAAUGAAAGUUUCACUACAUUGGUGUGGAGUAGGAUAGUUCAUAAUUUUAAUAAGCGAACAAAACUCAACUUCAUCAAAAGCCACUUACAAAAUCGGUUGAAGGUUUUGAAGCGUCAAUUUGUCAUGUACCAAACAUUGGCUAACAAGAGUGGGUAGGGUUGGGACUAUGAUCGCAACAUUCCGACCGCUGGUGACCCGAGUGAUUGGGAUAUCGUGAUUUCUAUAUGUUAUUAAAUAAUGUUUAUUUCAAUUUGCUUGUAAUAUUAAUAUCAAUUAUUUUAAUUGUUCAUUAUAUCUAUAUUGUAUAGAAAAAUCCAGCUUAUGCAAGAUGCAGGGAUAAACCCUUUCUUGCAUAUCAUGAGAUUGAGUUUUUAUCUGGAAAGACUGCCGCCACGCGGGAGACAUGGGUUUACGACGGGGAUGCAAGGCGAGGAUGUUCGCAGCACCUCAUCAUCUUUCCCGGGCACAACAACGCUAUUGGAACAAAUUCAGUAAUCAAUGAUAGGUGCAUCUAGAGCUAGUCAAACUUCUACUCCUCAAAUAGUACCCAUUACACAGUCUUCUCGAAACGACAAUGUAGCUGACACCACAUCAUGCUCUCCUACACCUACACCAGUCAAGAGAGCAAAUCCACACGUUAAUAGUGCUUCUGGUCAUACCUCUUCUUGCAGGAGGCUUUGCUCCUCUCCUCCUUCACUCAAGACAACACCAACAUCAAGCAGCAAGGAAUGAGCUGAUGUCACCCCUAACAGUAUUCAUGAGCUUGUGAAACUCGGUAAGAAGCGUUUGAAUAUAGCCUAGCGUAUGUUGCAACGUGAACUUGAUGCCCGUCCAAAGGUACACUCUUUACAGGAAUGUAUGGCAAGAUUAAAUGAUGUGCUUGGACAGUCUCUUGAAGCCAUCCUGUCUACAUAUGAAGUGCUCAAAGAUGAGCGCAAUAGAACCAUCUUCAUGUCAUUAAGUGGCGACAUCCUUUAUAUGUGGCUUGAGCGUCAAAUAUAAAGUGGCGACAUCCUUUAUAUGUGGCCAAUUGGCCACUGGACAAAAGCCUGAUGGAGCUUCUUUCCCUCCUAUCUAGCUAACUCAUUCUCAACUCUACCUUUUGGUUUGGGUGGUCUUGCUUAGAAAUUAUUAGUUUUUUGAAUUUCUGGCUAUGAUUAGCAAAGCCUAUGAAUAGCUGUCUUUAUAUUAUUUAUGCUUGUUAGGUACUUGAACUUCUAAGCACCUGUUCUACUGCUAAACCCACUUUCAGGGUUAUGUAGACCUUUGGCUACUAACUUUUUACAUUUACUCUACCUAAUAGUCUUGCAUGUGUUUUUUCAAUACCAAAUACAUGUUUUAAAAUGCAGUUUUGAGCUGCUUUCUUUGCAAAUGGAUAUAUUCUUCUGCUUGAUCUGAAUUUUGCCAAUACUUGUGCCUCUAUGAUGCAUGUUGGGUGUAAAUGGUAGGGAGGCAAGGGUUUUACACCUUGCAGCUAUCAUUCUAACAUGAAUAUUUCAGCCCUUAGCUAAGCUUUAUGCUGCUUCUCUACCAUUUCUAUUGAAUCCUACUUGGACUUGACAAUGUUGGGUCUAUGUUUUUUUGGCGAUGAUGCAUGUUGAGUGUGAAUGGCAAGGAGGCAGAGGUUUAUUUUACACCUUGCAGCUACCAUACUAACUUGAACAUUUCAGCCCUGAGCCCAGCUUUAUGCUGCUUUUUUGUUGUUUCAAUCGGAUCCUACUUGGGCCUGGUAGGUCUUAUGAAUAUUUAGCACACUGAUUAGGACUGUAGACUCUUGCAUGUUUGCUACCAGUUUAUGCCUUUGUAGACUCCUACGAUGGCUCAGUUGUGUCAUUAUUUGAUCUUUCUACACUGCUAAUUUCCUGCAACAAUUACUUUCUUGAUGGUGGUAACCUUUGUAAACUUGUACAUUGCUUGGAUGGGUUAUGUUUUUUUGGCGAUGAUGCAUGUUGGGUCAGCUUUAUUCCUGCAUAUUUGUUCUUACUUCAUGAAUUUAUAGACUACUACAUUGCUCGCUUCUGUCUUUGUGCUGCUUUUCUAUACUGUGACAUGUCGGCUGCUGUCGCUGCUUCAAGUUUACUUUUUUUUUUUCUUUUUUUUUUCUUUUUUUUUUUUAUGUUCUGUACUCCUUAUAACAUCAGAUAUUAGAGUGCUAUUGGUUUUAUGAUUGUUCAAUUCACUAUUUACUUCUAUGUUGGUGCUCUAUUGCAUGCUACUCGUUUUAGAUACUACAUUGCUAUUAUGUUUUACAAUAGUUCAGUAUACUCUGGUUUUAUGAUUGUUUAUUAGACUGUUGGUUAGCUUCAUUCCGUAAUUUUGCUACUAUUUCAAUCAUCUGUUGUAUUCUACACUGCUCAGUUGUGAAUUCCUGCUGCUUUUGUACACUGCUACUUUCCUGAUACUAUAAAAUUUUUAUGCUUGUAAGGAACAUAUUGGUUCUCUACUCCUUGUAAUUUCAGAUAUUACACUCGUGGGCAUUUGGGAAGGUCAAUGUGGCGAUAAUGCAUAAUAGGGUUACAUGUGAUCAUGGUAGGAUGGCAGUGAUGUAUCCCACUGCAGCUAUCAUUUUCUUGAUAACCCUAUUAAUCCUAAGCCAAUUUUAUAUAGUACAUCUUACAUAUUAGGAUGGUGUAUUUUGGUAGUGAAGUAAUCUAGUUUCAUUUAUAUAUUGCAGAGAUGGAUACUAUAAUCAAUCGGCAAUUUUUUUCAUCUGCAACUUUAGCCGAAGUGAUGACAUUUCUAGAUGAGAAAGAUGAGUAUUGGGAUGAUAUGUUUGCUAUUAUGAUCAAUAAAGGUAUGUUUCAAUUUCAGAACACCUUGUACAAGCGACCAUGUCGCACAAGACCAUUCACCGGUCAUCAAGUAAUUAUGAAUAUUUUAGGAAAGCAUCUAGAUAGAGGCUAUCAACACUUUCGCAUGUCCAACAUCACAUUUAUAAGACUUCGAGAUGAAUUGGUUGAGAAGGGUUUGAUACAGGGUAGUCGCCAUUUGACUACAGAUGAACAGCUUGGGAUUUUUCUAUUUGCUGUUGGCCAUGGCGUAACAAAUAGAAUUUUAGCUAAGACAUUUCAACACUCAGGGGAGACAAUUAGUAGAUAUUUUAAUAAUGUCAUGCAAGUCAUAGUGGAACUUAGGCAUGAUUACAUCCAAAUGCCUACCAGUAAUGUUGAAUGCAUCAAAAAAUAAGGAACAACCCAUUAUUCCAUCCUUUUAAGGUGAUAUAACUAGUAGACUAUGCUGUUUUCUUUUGGUAAUAUGCAGAUUUUGACAUAUUGAUUUUUUCUUUUUUAUUGCUUUUGCAGAAUGUAAUUGGCGCUAUUGAUGGAACACAUAUACCGAUAGUUGUAAGAAAGCAUAAGCAAGCGCGCUAUCAUUGUCACAAAGGGUUUACAUCACAUAAUAUGUGUUGGAUAUAUUGUUAUUGGAUAUUUUGUUACAAUAUAAUCCAAAUAAUAUAUUCACAUACAAUCCCAAUAAGUGAAAGUGUAAUAAGGCCCAUAUCUCUGGAGCCCAAUAGCUUAUUUAUUAAAUCUAGGGUUUCCUACGCUGGAGGUAACACUGUUGAGCGUUCCAAACUUGACGUCUCUUGGUAUAAUACUUUAAGCUCCCAAAAAACCCUAACCUCCAACAAUCUUAAAGUAUUACGAUCCUAUGUCGGAUUUGAGCGAGUAAGGUGUCGAUUCGAAGAUCUCGUCAAGACGAAUUCCCCGGUAUAAUUUAUUUUCGAUUUCGACGAUCGGAUUGGCCGGGAUCUGAGUUUGAAGGUCAGGCGGCGGAAUUCUUUGAUUCAAAAAUCCAGAAAUUAUAGCCAAUUUCAGAGGGUGAAACCACUUGGGUUCUGUUCUACUCGUCGAUACGAACGUUUUGAGUGGUUACUCGUCUCGAACGGAGGUCGGACGACGAAGUUACGGCCAUCGGAAGUUUUCAGCAGUUUCCGGCGACGAGGGCAGUUCAUCUUAAGGUUUUUGGGCGCUACGGAUCCAAUUUUGGGUUUGUUUUUGGCAAAUUCCACCUCUACAAAGCACUUUGAUUCAGAUCAGGGGCUUUAUUCGACUUUGCGAGAUCUGCGGACUACAAGGUGCACUCUUUCUAACACUUUGCUCUGAUUAAAUGGCAAAGCGUAGUUCUUUUGAUAUUAUAAAAUUGCAAUCAUUUGAUGUUACUGAAUUUCAUGGUUGGAAAUUACAUGUUCAAUUUGGCAUGAAAGAACGUGAAAUAUUCUACACUGUUCUGAGUGAUUUUGCAUCUACCAUUGAAAAUGUGGAUGAAUAUCAAUGGAACAAGGAUGAAGAUUUCUGUAGAGAUUACUUGUUGAACUCUUUAAAUCCUCGUCUAGCUAUGACUUAUAGUGAGUAUAAGACAGCGAAAGAGAUAUGGGAUCACUUGAACGCUCAGUUCCAAAAACAAGAGGGGCUUUCUAAAACUCUUCUAGCGGAGAAUUUUUUUGACUUUAAGUUCAAUAUGAAUUCAAGUAUCACCUCUCAAUUAAUUGAACUUGAGAACAUGAGGAACAAGCUGAAAGAUGAUAAAUCUGAUAUGUCUGAUAAUCUCUUUGUUGGUCUUGUAUUGAGUAAGUUACCUGCUGAAUGGAAUUCUUUCAAGACUGAAAUGCACAGAUUGAAAGAACAGAUGGGACUGGAUGAAUUAAAGAGGUAUAUUCACAUUGAGGAUCAAAACAGUACUAGAAAGAAUUUAGAACAAGUAGGACAACAAAAGUCAGUUGCCAACUUAGUUUCACACUUCAAUAAACCUCAGAAAAGAUCCAAGUCACCAAAAGGUGAAUCUUCUUCACAGCUAGAGGUCAAAAAGACUAUCUCCAAAAAGAAGAAGAAAGGAAAGUGUCAUAACUGUGGAAAGUGGGGUCACUGGGCAACAGAGUGGAGACUACCAAAGAAGCCAAAGAAUAACACAUCACAAAGUGAGGCUAAUAUGCUAAUUAGUGAAUCUGAGCCUCAAGCCUUCAUUGGAAUGAUGAAAAUUGGAAAGGCUAGUAUUUCUUCUGAGUGGUGGUUGGAUAGUGGCGCUACUUGUCAUGCUGCAAAUGACAAGAACCUACUCACAGAGGUCACAGAAGUGAAAGACACCGUGAAAAAUUGCAAUGGUGGUGAGACAGAAGUGACUCAUACUGGAACUGCAAAUUUGGUGCUUUCUUCAGGUAAAUUACUAACUCUGAAACAUGUUAGAGUAGUACCUUUACUUAAAAAGAAUUUGAUAUCUAUGAGCUUACUUGAUAAAGCUGGUAUGUCUUUUUCAACUAUGAAUGGUAGAGUAACCUUAUCAGUUAACUCAUGUUAUUUUGGUUGUGCAUUCAUAGUUAAUGGUAUGUAUAGGUUGAGUUUAGAUACUGAUAGUAUAAACCAUAUGAGUUCUAUUCUGAUUGAUCCAAAGUUGUUGCACAAUAGACUUGGACAUGUGAACUACAGGAAAAUGCAACAUCUAGCUAAAACUCACAACAUUCCAUUGGAUACUUCUAUUCGAUUUGACAAAUGUGAAGUGUGUGCACAAGCUAAGAUCACUAGAAAACCUUUUAAGAUGGUUUCUAAAAGCACACAACUUCUUGAGCUAAUACAUUCUUAUCUUUGUGAUUUUAGAAAUUACGUCACUAGAGGUGGUCGAAAGUAUUUGAUAAUAUUCAUAGAUUAUUUUUCUAGAUAUUGUCAUGUCUAUUUGUUGAAAUCGAAAGAUGAGGCUUUUGAAAAGUUUAAAAUUUUCAAAUCUAGAGUAGAAAAUCAACUCAACAUGAAAAUUAAGAGGUUUAGGAGUGAUAGAGGAGGAGAAUAUACAAUGACAGGGUUCAAGGAAUUUUGUGCUUCAGAGGGCAUAAUACUUGAAACCACUGCUCCUUACUCACCCCAAUCAAAUGGUGUUGCUGAGCGUAAGAAUAGAACGUUAACUGAAAUGUUAAAUUCUAUGUUACUUAUAGCUGGCAUGCCUUCCUCCUAUUGGGGAGAAGCAGUUCUGACUGCUAAUCACAUUCUGAACAGGUUGCCACACUCUAAGUUGUCUAUGACACCUUAUAAGAUAUGGCAUAAGCAUCCUUGUAGAUAUGAUACUCUUAAGACCUGGGGUUGUGUUGCUUAUGUAAGAAUACAAGAUCCAAAGAGGCCUAAGGUGGGACCUAGAACAAUUACCUGUGUAUAUCUAGGCAGUGCAGAAGAUAGUGCUCCAGAUAGGUUUUUAGAUCUAUCUACUAACACAGUGAUAGAAUCUAGAGAUGCAGAAUUCUUCGAGAAUAAGUUUCUCAGAGAUCAUGGCUUGAAUGUUUCUGGAUCUAUAGAUAUGAUUUCAGAAUCUCCUGUAGAAUCUGAAGUAGGCCCUUCUGACACUAAUCCCACACAAUUGGCUAUUGAAUCAGUUCCAGUUAGAAUAUCUACAAGAGAGAGAGUUCCCAAAAGUUUUGGUGAGAAUUUUGUUACUUACCAUCUCGAGGAUGAUCCAUUUUCUUAUCAAGAAGCAAUGAGAUCUAGGGAAUCCCUACUGUGGGCAGAAGCCAUAGAUGAUGAAAUGAGCUCUCUGUUGCAGAACCACACUUGGCAGCUAGUCAAUUUGCCAAAAGGGGCUAAGGCUAUAGGCUGUAAGUGGGUAUUGAAAAAGAAACUGAAUAGUGAUGGAUCAAUAGCNAUAAAGCACCGGGUUUUGGCUAUUUUGAAACGGUCCAAAUACUCUUCGACCUUUCACCUGACAUUUGUCGGUAUAAAGCCAAGUCGGCGAUCGAUAAUUGUAGCUCCGAUCUAUAGAAUCGCUCAUGAAAUUUUCUUUCCAAUUCGUCCCAAUCUUGGAUGGAAUUGGCUGAUAAACUUGUAUACCAAAUAAACGCUGUUUUAGUUAACGACGUGUUAAAUAAUCGAAGUUUCAAAUAUGAGUCAGCGGCCGCUUCUCUACAUUGGGCCGUGAACCGGGCUAUAUGCUAGACCGUAUUCUCGGUCUCAUCGCCCGAGAACUUGUCGAACUUCGGCAUUUCCAGUUUGCCGGAUACGGAUGCUCUGUAUCUAUAUUUGCUGGAUACGGGGAUCGAAAAACAUGCCGCAUAGCCGGCCUGGCCCCUACUCCGAAGGUAUUCCGAAUGACUUCCUCAAUCUGAGCAUACAGCGGAGCUUGUGCUUAAGCCGAAUUUGGCCCUUGAGGAACUCCAGAAUUCUGUAUUGUAGGGUUCGCUCCUUGCAUAUCAUUAGGGGCCUGCGCCCCAGCUCUAGCCCCUACAUUUUGGGGCUGGUAUGCUGCCGUCGGCGGAGGUGGUGGCAAUCCUUAUGUAAUUUCCGGCUGUUGACCGGUAUUGACGACGGCUGGUCUGUAAACCGCUUGGAAUGGUGCCCCCUGGUAUUGGGGCUGUCCAUUUAUCGGUGUCGCAGGAUUUUGCAACACUGGUGUCAUCAUAGGCCUUUGUGAGCCUGUCAUUGGUUGCUCAUUUCGAGUCAAUAAUUGCCCUAUUCGUGCAAUAUUUUCAUUAUAGGCCGUGAUAGCGGCCAGCACCGCGUCUAGACGAGCGGUACGUUGAUGGAUAUUUUGAUCUAAAGUUUGCAGGACUCGGAUCAUCUGGCCGAAUGCCUGAGUUAGACUCGGCUCUUGAUGAGCCGACUGUCCACUAGUUUCUCCUUCAACUGGCAAAACUGCUUGACAUUCGCCAGCAUUGUCUGAAUCACUAGGUUGAUCACUCCUAGAAUUUCUAGGAACAACCCUAUUACGUAGAUCAUCGGCCAUAAUUUAUAUAAAAUAUAAAUUUACCUAAAAAUGUGUCCCACUGGGCGUGCCAAAAUUGUUGGUGGCCGAAAGUCCCGACCGUUGACCCGGUCAAGAAUCCUCCUCGGGAAGAACGUCGGGAUGAUGAGCGGCCGCGGAUGGUGACCCUCGAAGUUUGCGCCCACGACGGAUCAAGCGAUUCGGCUGACGAGGGAUCGAAUCAGCCGGGUUCGAAAGCUCUUUUCACUCUUCGGUUCGGCUGGAUGAGCCGAAAAUGCGGAGAAAGUCGGAAGUUAAGCCGGGAGAUGAGCCGAAUGGCCAGGACAACUCGAAAUCUGGUCGGCUUGAAUAGCCGAACAUGACUUUCUAUUGAAUAGAAAAUAAAAAAGUACAAGAACAGAGGAGUGAUGCCCGUGGGGCAGACAGACUCCAAGUAUAUUCUACAAGGGAGUGAUGCCCAUGGGGCAGACAGACUCCAAGUAUAUUCUAUAAGGGAGUGANAAAGACCACCCUUAUUUCCUCUGCAUUUUAUCGCUUUUCUAGGAGUAGUCUAAAUGUAAGCUUUUUCUUUUCCGCAUUUACUGCUUUCUUAGGAGUAGUUCGCUAAGUAGAACCCUGGAGUCUGUCUGCCCCACGGGCACCACUCCGUUGUAGACUACAUUUGCAGAGUCUGUCUGCCCCACGGGCAUCACUCUGUUGUAAACUAUAUUUCUGAGUCUGUAUGCCCUUCGGGCACACUCUUUUUAUUAUUAUAUAAAGGCAUUUCGCUCUUUCAGCCGACCAGUUACUGUGUACUUUUUCCAUUCGGCUCUUCUGCCGACAUUGAUCUAUGCACAGUUCAUACAUUCGGCUCCUCCAGCCGAACCGAUUCUAUAGUAGUGGUUUUCGAACCCGGCUGAUUCGAUCCCUCAUCGGCUGAAUCGCUUGAUCCGUCGUGGGCGCAAAUUUCGAGGGUCACCAUCCACGGCCGCUCAUCAUCUCGAUGUUCUUCCCGAGGAGAAUUCUUGACCGGGUCAAGGGUCGGGACUUUCGGCCACCAACAAUUACCCAAUUAACUUAGUUAACUCCUUUGGUUAACUACAACUCACCAAUCAAAUACCUUCUUAUCGGGGAGAAUUUCGCUACAACCCGACGAGACCGUCUACUGGGAAGCAUACCCGCUACCAACCCAGUUGAUGACAACUCCGGAGCUCAUCGCCCAAGGAGGAGCGACCUUUACCUCGAGCAUUAGAUUAAUAUGAGUAUGAUCCAAUCCUGACUUAGAGGAUACAAUGACAAUGCCACACUUUAACUAGCUCUUUAUGCUAGGUUUACAUGUCCAAUUCUAGAUACUAAUCAAUUCAUCUAGUUCUAAUGCCACAAAUAGUACAAGUUCAUUUUCCUUGUUCAUUAUUCACACUACUUGGUGCUACUCAUGCCGUUUAUUCAUAAUGUCACUUGUUAACUAUUUCAUAGUGUUGGUGGUCGAAAGUCCCGACCGUUGACCCGGUCAAGAAUCCUUCUAGGGAAGAAUGUCGGGAUGAUGAGCGGUCGCGGAUGGUGACCCUCGAAGUUUGCGCCCACGACGGAUCAAGCGAUUCGGCUGACGAGGGAUCGAAUCAGCCGGGUUCGAAAGCUCUUUUCACUNGGCCGCGGAUGGUGACCCUCGAAGUUUGCGCCCACGACGGAUCAAGCGAUUCGGCUGACGAGGGAUCGAAUCAGCCGGGUUCGAAAGCUCUUUUCACUCUUCGGUUCGGCUGGAUGAGCCGAAAAUGCGGAGAAAGUCGGAAGUUAAGCCGGGAGAUGAGCCGAAUGGCCAGGACAACUCGAAAUCUGGUCGGCUUGAAUAGCCGAACAUGACUUUCUAUUGAAUAGAAAAUAAAAAAGUACAAGAACAGAGGAGUGAUGCCCGUGGGGCAGACAGACUCCAAGUAUAUUCUACAAGGGAGUGAUGCCCAUGGGGCAGACAGACUCCAAGUAUAUUCUAUAAGGGAGUGAUGCCCAUGGGGCAGACAGACUCCAAAGAUCUAAGUUACAAGAACUACUCCUAGGGAAAGCAGUAAAUGCGGAAAAGAAAAAGAUUAUAUUUAGACUACUCCUAGAAAAGCGAUAAAAUGCAGAGGAAAUAAGGGUGGUCUUUUGUGCGCAGGGGCAAAGACCCCAAUUACAGGCUUCAAAGUUACUAUUUAUAGCCCACAUUAUUAGUUGGUUGAAAGAAGUUGGGGGGAGUGGUUGUAACCAUGAUCGUGGAAAUUAUACUAACUCCUCAUGGAAGUUACGCUAACUCCUCAUGGAAGUUACGCCACAAUCUUCAACCGUUCCCGCCUUUUUGUCCUUUAGGCGUCUUAUUGCCGGCUCCUGGUGUACCAUGUGUCCUUAUUGGCUCAUACGUGGGUUAGGUCGGCUCAAUUUUGGUAUCAACACAUAGUCAAUACUUGUUCAAACAACUAUAGGGUUCUAUGUUUACUAACCACUGUCCACAUGUAUUUAGCUCCCAAAGCAUACAAUUAGACCACAUGUCAAUUUAAUCACAUAUCAAACUCAACCCUAUAAUGCAUGAAUGUCAACUAAACAUAUACAAUACAUGUAUGCUUAAGAAAUGUGACAUAAACAUAAUAGGUCAUUCGAUGACUUCGAAAAGCAUCACCCACCUUUAAAUGAUGCCGGAAUGCGAGAAAACCACUUCCCGCGAUUUAUGAACGAUCACACCUCUCGCUCGCGACAAACGAAGCUAAAAUGAGGUUUUUCCUCACUAGCUUGCCGUAGGCUCGUAGGAACGCCAAUCCGAGCUUCCCAAUGCAUCGGUUUUACCCUCAAUUAGGAUUUCAUGUGAUCAAUUUCAAGCUAGGACUCCAAUCCUACAAAAUUACAUUUUCGAGCCUAAGUUCUACAUAAUCUGUUUCUACACAAAUUCUAUAAUAUACAGGGUAAUAUAAGCUCCAAUAACUCAAGAACCUCAAACCCAACUAAUUUAGGGAAUAACAAGAGAUCAAACUCAAACUAUGUUUAUAUUCCAACAACCUUCAUAUCAGCCCAAGAGUUCACAUAUUACUACACAAUACAUAGCUCUAUCUAGGUUUUCAUGGCAAGAACCAGCUCUUGCAACUCACAAAUCCUAAGUUAAAUCCUUUCUAGAGCAAAUACCACAAACUCUACCAAAGAGAUAUCACAAUCAUACCUCAGGUUUGUAGCUUCAUCAGAUUUCCUCUUUUGUUCUUAAGCUCCCUCACCUCAAGAACACAAACUUCACAUACUUUUCCUUCUCCAAUCCACCCACCUUAGGUUUAGAGAGAGAAGGAGAAAGAAAUGAAAAGAGAGAAGAAGAAGGAGGCUAUCACUAUACGUAUGAAGCAGGUGGGGGUUCAGGGGUUAUAGAUAAGACUGUACAAUUGCAAUUAAACCCCCUAUAAAAGCUGAAAUUCUUUCUACAAUACACUUAAUUUUCGGGGCUGGGUACUGGUACUCCCCUGUUUUGGUACCAGUACCCAAUGCAAUUCUUGCACUUAGGCAUCAACCAAGGUUCCAAGGUCAACUUCCAAUUCCACUUCGCGCCGAAUGCCUCUAAACACCUCUAAAACAUAUCACCAACUAUCCCCACGCCUCCGAAAUGAUUCGGGGAUACUACAAAUUAUACUUAUACCCCACUUUGAUCAAUUGGUUCAAAAUUAGCCUUAUAAUCCGGAGAUUCUCUUCCGAGCUCGUUUCGCACCCAAUUUGCGCCGAAACACUCAAAUACCUCCAUUAAUCAUUCCCAUACCUCCAGAAUUACUCGGGAAUGACGCACAUCCUGUCACGCCUCGGGACCCAGCGGAAGCCCUCCCGGCGCGUGUCCAGACCCGUCAUAUGCCUACAAUAUAUAAAGCGUCUACAACAAAGCGAUAAUUAAAAACAAUAAUAAACCAGUAUCUAGAGAUAUCAGAGCAUGAUUACAUCUAAAUUCUAAUAACAAAACGAAUAGUAAAAGAGCUAAUCAACUAAUAUAACCAAAAGGGUAUCUACAACGAGUUCCAAACAUAAGAGCUAAAUGUAAAAAAGUGGUGGUCUCUACAAGGUACAAAACUCUCAACCUCUCCAAAAGAACAAAAAGAGAGGUGAACCACCUAAAUACGGAGCUCCUCGCAACUAGCUAGAGGCAAAACCUUUGCCUCGAUCCAGAGCCUCUCCCGGCGUGGAAGGCUCUGUAAAACAUCAAGAAACAGGGGCGUGAGAACUAUUAAACAAUAGUUCCCAGUGGGCAAUUACUGACCUCAUUGAAAUGCACCACUGGGCUAAAAGCAGAAAUAGUAAGUUCUAAUAUUUAAAUGGAAUGAUCGACAUGUAUGUAAACAUGAAUAAACUUGCUAAACUACUAUGUCUCUACCUUAGCAUGUAUUUCCACAAUGUAAAUGCUAUUCUAACAUGAAUAUGCAUAAAUAUAAUCAACAUGAUAUCCACAAGUACAACUAGUAAAAUGUCAUUGUUUACUAAUUUGUCUAAUGUCCACUUUGCAUUAAUUCCACUUUAUUCCAAUCACAUAGGACCUAUCCGUGGGUAGUCCGACUUGCGUCGUGCCUAAUGGCACCGUGGUAGUCAACAUCCCCACCCUAGGAAUGAGCCUCCCCUACGGCAUCCCAUUUCGGCGCCCAAUCCCGCACGGGCGAGCUUAUGUCGCGAUGGCUAUCUCCGGAGUGCCGGCUUGUGGGGAGCGACCCUCACAAGUAUGUGCGAAUGAGCACAAUGGCAAGCAAGCGUAAGUAUCAGUCUCAAGUCCAAUGUCAUCAUGUCUAAAACAUGGUAUAUAUAAAAGCUAGCGACCCAAAGGCCUAUCACGAUAUCAUCAAGUAAAGGUUUCAUAUUUACUAGGUUCCAUGCCCCUUUAUGACAUUCUUAUCCACUAUGUCCAGUGUGAGUUCUAAGUCUGAGAGCAUAUUAUAUAAGUCAUUUUCUUUGCAAGAAAUAUGAUUUCAACCAUAUAUAAAUAGAAUGCUAUUCUCAUACAUGCUAACAAUGCAUUUAUCUCUCUCUACUAUAUAGAGGUAAUUUUUCAUCAUACAUAACACAUGUAUUUUAAGCAUUCUAAACAACUCGUAUGCUCUAUUUAAUAUGAAUAUGCAUGCAUUUCUAUUUUACGACAAUUAAAAAUCGACAUAGGUAGAGUUUUUCUCUUUUCGAUGAAGUCAAAUCCACCAAAGUUCCUCGUAGCCCUUUGUUUGUGCCGACGAAGGUGUCCACUAGCCUCCUAGCUCCCUAAAGGUUAAACUAGGAGAGUUAAACGAAAAGAACGAACAUUACCGAGAUCAAACAUUAACCAACCCGAGCAAAAGGGCAAAACUCACAUUCUAUGGUGAAAUCCCCUCUCAAACUACAAAAGUGAGUAAGAUCCCUUCAAAUCCAACCUAAACAAAGGUUCUAACUCAAUCAAUUGAGUUCCAAAAGUCUCAAACCAAAAAUCUCCAUUUUAAACCCUAAUUUCACAUUUCUAGGGUUUCAUCUCAAGAAAUCCUUCAAAUUAUGAAUCUAAUGAAAGAAAUAUGUUACUAACCUCUUUAGAAGCUUCAAUCAAGGCUCAAAAUCAACUAGGGUUGAAGAUCUUCCUUCCCACGAGCUCCAAUUCUCAAUCCAAUGCUUCUCCAAGGGAGAAACCCCAACAAAGAGCACAGAGAAGUAAGGAGAGGAGAUCAAAAUGAGCUAAAACAUAAGAAAAAAGAAAGAAAAUCAAGAGAGGGGUUCUUACCUCUCUUCUCCAUGGAUCAGGGCUCAAAAGAGCCUCUAUGGGCUGUAGGGUGAUAUAUAGAUAUGCUACAAUUGCAAAAACACCCUCUCAGAAUAAGCAGUCUGCGGGUUGCACUGUGUACCAGUACACGGACAAGAGUACCGGUACUAAGCCACAGUACGCGCAAACCCGAGCCUCGGGUUUGCAGGAAAAAUACACUGGUACCGGUACCAGUCCAAUGCUGUACCGGUACCACCUCUGGUUCCGGUACAAACUCAAUGUUGUACCGGUACCCAGUUCAGCAGAAUCCAACCCGAGAGCAGCCAACAAUCUUUACUUUAAAGACUUUGGAGCUAAAUUUUAAACCUCGUUUCUCGGGAUGCGAGCCACAGGUCGGAAUAUUGUCAACGACCCUCUAGAAAAUGUGGAAAAGCUCGGAACACAGAUCAAGCACUCGAACCUCACGAUUUGCAAAGGUCCGGUGUGUUACACAUCCAGCUCAAGCUUCACUUUGAUCCCCUAGAUCAAAGUUAGCAUUGUAACCCAGAAUUUCAGUAUAUUACAAUUUAUGCAAAUUUAUAGAUUGAAAUUAUGAUGCAUUAAAACAUUGAUAAAAUUUUAAUCCUAACUAUCAGUAAAAUAACAUAUACUUAAUUCCUUUUAGGAUUAGUAAGGUGAAUUAGGUAAGUAGCUGACAUAACUGAAUUUCUAUUUAAUCUGACCCUUCUAUUCAAUGCUAUCCUGAAAUUUCCAUUAGCAUUUCAAAUUUUACUUAUUUAUUCCUUUUCCUUUUAGAAUCAUGGUUAGGUUAAAAAGGUCAAGAGAUGAUAAGAUUAGAAGCAAUGAGGUGCAAAAUAGUUGUAAUGACUCGGCGCCUAUCUCACAAUCAAGAUCGUCAAAUACAAUGUCAGAAUCUAAUUCGACACAAGCUGCCUCACAUCUUGAAUCCUCACAAAACCAACCUCAUAUUCAAGAGACAAUUGAAGUUGAAAGUACAGAUAUAUUAGAGAUAAUUGGUAAUUUUUUCCAUCUUGCUAUUUUAUUCAACUAUAUGUUAGAUUAUUGUGGUUUUAAUGUUGUUAUUUGUUUCAUGUUUGUAGAUACUGAGGGAAGGAUAAAAAGGAAACGUGGAAUCCAACAUGCUAAAGAUGUGUGGAAUUUACCAAUGGGAGAAAGAAUUGUAAUAAAAUGCAAUCGCUUUGGACAACCUUUGAAAAAAGGUGGAGGCAUCUUAAGUGGUUGGCUUGGGUUGGUGGCACGGAUGGGAAAUUGGUGCCCAAUUGGUUACAAACGCUGGAAGAUUGUGCCAUCACGUUACAAAAUUGACGUCCUUAACUUGACACGGGUAAUUGUUUUUAUCGUUUUAACCUUUAUUUAUAAAUUAUAGAUCACUUGUAAGGGUAAUUGAGUGUAUUUCUAAUAAAACUUAUAUGAUAAUUUAGUAGAUCGAGUUUAUUUGCUAUUUGAUGAAACAUUGCUUAACAAGUGUAAUUUGAAACCCAUAAAUGUAGCUAGUCUCCUUCGCUUUCUAUUUUUGUAAAUGCUUAUUGUUUUUUUAUUGUUGGUAUAGAGCAAGUUUGUCCUCCCAAAUAGCGACAUCGAUAAGUGGGUUUUGAAAUCCUUGAGCCGAAAGUGGAAGAAUUUUAGAUUCGAAUUAAAAGCUAAAUACAUGUUAGAGGAUCUAACUGAACAACAACUCGCAAGUAACGUCCCGCAUGGAAUUGUUCCUCACCAAUGGGUAGAUCUUGUUCGAUAUUGGUUUUCAGAGAAAUGUCAGGUUAUAUACUAAUGAGAACAACUUUGUUUAAUAGUUUCAUUACAAUUUUAUUGAAACUUAAUAAUUUGUUUAAAUCUUAUAGUUAUAUUCUCAAGUUGGGAAGACCUCACGUUCCCUUCACACUACACAUCACACGACGGAUUCCAUGAGUUUUGGAAGAAAAAGGGAUGAAUUUGUGUGUAAAUAAACUAUUAAUUUUUGCAUUUCAAUUAAAUUAUUUUAUUCCGUUUUUACAUAUGGAAUAACAAAUUUGGUACUAAGUUUUCAUAUAAUAAAUGCUUGUAGGAAAUUGAGCAUGGAAGAGAGCCAAGUCGUCUUGAAUUCUUCAUUGAAACCCAUAAACGUAAAGAUGGAACACUUGACAAGCCGUCACAAACUAUUGUGGUAUGUUAUUAUAUAUAUAUAUAGUUCAGUCUUUUAUAUGUUUAAUGUUUCUUAGAUACUUCGUAUAUGUAUAAAUCUUUUCGUUGAGUAAAGAAUGCCAUAUAACAAAUGCUCUUUCCCUCUCCUAAGGUUUUAUUAGAGUAAUGCUUCUUAAUUUACCACUAAACUUGAUAUUGACUCCCUAGUGGUCUUGUUAAAGUGUGCAUUACUAAUUUUAUAGUUCUGGUCUCAUAGGAAAAUUCUAAAUUUGUUGCUAAUCAUAAAACUAUUUUCAUGUAAAUAGCCUGAUAUGUUCUUCUAUUAGAUAUUUCCAUGGAUAAUGAAUAGGUUCUCACUUUAAGUGUGAGAAAUGUUUUUCGAACAAUGGGUCCAUAAUGUAGUGCUUAUGCUUGUUUAGAGAGCACGGGUCUAAAUUGGAAUUUCAGUAGCCCGAAAAUGUUAUGGGAUUAUGGAGAAAAUUUAACUUGGAUUUCAUGUUUGUCUAGCAAAAUCAAUGUUGCCAUUAAGGCAUUAACACGUUAAGCUCUUGAAAUUUUUACUUAUUGGAGGAUGUGUAUCAGUGUAUGACACUUUUAUCUUGGCAAACCCUACCAUAAUACAUCUAUCUUGCCGUUAGCGCGUUAAACUCUUGAAAUCUUUACCCAUUGAACAAUGUGUAUGGCACUUAUCUUAGCAAACCGUACAAUUAAUACUGCAUCAUAAUGGGUAAGGUUGAAUUUCAAAUACGUCAACCGUGCAAAAUGAAAGUGAUUGUCGUUCCCACUUUAUAAAAAUGCAUGAUAAAAGUCGGCAACUGCUGGUUCUAGAAGGCAGUUGAGCUACUUCAAUUCUUGGUUCUAAAGAGAAGGAACAAACUCUUAAUGGUUAUUACAUUUAGAUUUCUUUUAAAUUGAGCUGCUUUAAUUGUGAUUUGCCUCUCCAGUUCUGAAAUUUAUAAAUUUCUAUGUUUUUUUAAACUAGAGAAGUAUACUGGCUACAUGUUUAAAAAACCGCCCUUUAACUCAUUCUUUAAUUUUGUGGAUAUCAUUCCACUAUUGUUAAGAUGCAUGAUGCUUAUAUAUUUUUGUUCCAUUUUGUAUUAACUAGUAGUCCUAUUACUCCAAUACCAUAACCCAAAAGUGCAGACCUUUUUACCGUUUUAUCUUGUAGCUCCACAUGACUAUUAUCCUAAACUACUUUGAUUGAAAAUUGCAAGAUUUGUGGCAGCUCAGUAAUGCUAUUGUGACAGGGUGUCAUUAAUCUCAAGUGCAUUCAUUUGGCUUUGAUUUGAGAAAUCUGAGAUAUUGGUCUUGGGCUUUGAUUUGUACUUUUACUUGUAAAGUUUUAAAAAAGAAUGAUAUGAAAUACUUAAUUGGAUUAUUUGAAUUUUUGUAGGAUAAUGUGGGAAAAAAGAUUGUUGAAAAAGGAGGCACAUCUGAAUCAUCUGAAGCUACUAGCGAGUUACAAGAUGAAGUGUAUACGGAUAUCUUGGGGAAAGACCGGUAUGGGCGUGUGAGAGGUUAUGGUAUUGGAGUUACACCCACACAAUUAUUUGGAGUGGAAGCUUAUAUAAGAAGAAUGAGUUGUGGGUGAGUCGACUCAAUGGAGAUGCAGAGGUUUCAAAAUCAAAUGCAAUCUAUACUAAAGAGUCAUGAAGAACAGAUGCAAACUAUGCAAGUAAAUUAUGAAGCUCAAAUUCAAACCAUGCAGAAGAAUCAUGAAGAGCAAAUACAAGCGAUGCGCAGUAGUUGUGAAACAAAAUUAGCUGGAAUACAAAGUCAAUUGGACCAAGUGACCUUUACAUUGCUAAGAUUUUCCGGAUCAUUUGAUAAUCAAAAUGCUAGAAUGGCCCGUUUUGGAUCUAAUGCAUUUGAUGAAACUAUCCAUCAAGUUAACACUUCAUCAAGUAAUCAUGAAAGGGAAAUGAAUUGAUACAUAGAGGGUUUAAAACAAUACAUGGAAAAGAGCAUUUUUUUGUAAUUUUGUUCAUGUAGACAUUUCAUAUGAUAUGGUAUGAGUUUGUAUGAAUUUUUAAUUAGGUAAUUUUUUUGUGUGUAAACGGAUUGUGGGAUUGUUAUCUCAUGAAUACUUUUGUUGCGUAGAUAUAGUACAUUUGCUAUGGAUGUAAACUUAUAUUUUUCAGUGCUAAUCAUAGUAAAUUUUGGUNCCACCUUACACAUGAAAAUAGAUAUAGUAGGAAGUACACCUUUUUUGGUGACACAAAACUCAUCUGAAUUGCUAAUUUGAAAAAGAAAAGGUGAUGUAGACAUUUCAUAUGAUAUGGUAUGAGUUUGUAUGAAUUUUUAAUUAGGUAAUUUUUUUGUGUGUAAACGGAUUGCCUGAUUGUUAUCUCAUGAAUACUUUUGUUGCGUAGAUAUAGUACAUUUGCUAUGGAUGUAAACUUAUAUUUUUCAGUGCUAAUCAUAGUAAAUUUUGGUUAUUGUGAUCAACUUUAUUGAUAUGUAAAUAGAUAAAUAAUUUGUUUAUUAAUAUGUGAAAAUAUUUGUUGGAUGCAAUCAAAAUUAAAAAAAAAACAAUCAGGAAAAGAUAAAUUUCUGAUGCUUUAAAGCGUCAGGAAUUUUGAAAUUAAGAACAAUGCCAGACGCUUCAAAGCGUCAGGAAUUCUUGAUGCUUCAAAAAGUCAGGAAAUUGGUGGCAUUCCUGACACUUCUAAGCGUCAGGAAAUUGAACAACAUAAUGACGCUUACAAGCGUCAGGAAAUUUAAGGAAUUCCUGAUGCUUCUAAGCGUCAGGAAAUUGAACAACAUAAUGACGCUUACAAGCAUCAGGAAAUUGAAGGAAUUCCUGACGCUUCUAAGCGUCAGGAAAUUACAAACAUGACGGUAAAAAUUUUAAACCUAAUGACGCUUAGAAGCGUCAAGAAUUUAUUUUAUAUUCUUAACGCUUGGAAGCGUGAGAACAUUUUAUUCCACGACGCUUUUACCGACGCUUCAUUUGUUGACGCUUUGUAAUGCGUCGGUAGGUUUCUUAGGGAUAUUUAAAAGCGUCUCUAACUGCUAAAAAAAGUCCUUAAAUAUCAUAUUUUUCUAACUGCUAAAAAAAGUCCUUAAAUAUCAUAUUUUUUGUAGUGAUGGAAAGAGAGUAUGGUUAUUAAGACAUUAUUUAUCAUUUUCUUCUCUUUUGUUGGGUUUUGAGACAGGUUUAUUAAAAACUAUCAUUUUUGAUAUAAAAAAAAUGACAAAUGCAUCAGUAUCAAUCAUUCAAUUUAAAAGAAUAUUUGAUAUAGCAUGUUAAAGGUUAAAAUUGAAAACGAUCAAUAAUUUUAAACUCCUUUUUUUUUCUCAUAAAAAAAAAAAAAUUAAACUCCCUUUUUGCACUAGUAGUGUACCUCAAGUGAUGCAAAACUAGAAGGAACAAUAGAACACAACUAAAUAUGAUACAUAUAUAUUAUGAUUAUUACGUUUAAAUAGUGCAGCAUAUGUACGCAUCAAACAAAUGAACAGUGACAACAAAUUAAUAUAACACACCACACUCGUACGUACAUAAGCAACAACUAAGCUCAACGUAAUGCAAACAAAGUAUACGAAUUAUAUUACAGGCACCCCCUUUUAAUCUAGUUAUAGAUUUUGUAUGCAUCAAAGUGUGUGCACAAAAGUGCGCACGUCGAUGCAACUCAAUCAACCAAUCAAUCAGGCGUCCGACCAGAUGAUGCUGUGCUCUCUGACCUCCUUCGGGAUCCCAAGCACCUUCCACACGGCCGGCGAAGCGUCCACGAUGUUAUUCGCGCACGGCGUCUGGAAGUCGUGGUCUUUGUCGCACCCGUUCACGGAGUUGCACUCGUCGACGACCUUCGCGAGCACGGAGUUCCCGUUCGCGUUUAUCAUGAUAUUCUUCAGGCACCGGCUCAUCCCGUCGAACCACCCGGUCGACAAUGCGACCACCAUUUCGUCAUCUGGAUGAUACUUGUUGUCGCACUCCGAAGGCCCCCCGCCGUCCCCGCCCUUAGCGAAGCUGUUCAAUGUCAUGGUCGCGGGAGUUUCAGCGGUGACGGGAGGGGAGCAGCGGUACUGUGGGUACUUCUUGCCGUCUUCGCAGCAGUCAGAGUAGUUCUCGCGGUUGCAGUUGCCCACUUGCCGGUCAAGUAGCCGCUGGCGCGGCAGGAUCCGGCGAUGCGGGCAGACGCGGCGAGAUCGGGGUUGGAGACACGAUUAGCAGUAGUAGAGACGCGAAAGCGAGAAGGGAAGUAGCCAUAGUUAAUUUGUUCAGUUAUUCUUGGUGUGGAUUUUUUAACCUAUGCUUAAUUUGAUUUUUGAUAUCAAGCGGCAGGAAGGCUAGGAAUAUAUAGGCCAGAAAAUGCAUAAGCUGUACUUUUCACGGCACUCUGGCCUUUAAAAUUUGUUAACGUGAUGGGCCGGGCCAGGCGCGUGUGCCGUUAAGGUUAUGUAACGUUGAAAACUACUUGCUAACUAAGUUAAUUGGAAGAGAAGUGCUUAGUUUAUAGUUAAAAAGGAAUUGUAAUUUAUAUAAUUCCACAUCAACAAAGCCUUAGAUAUUUACUAAUUCAAUUUUGAUUUUUGGCAAAUUUUCAAUAAAAGAAGAUUAGUGAAGAAAAUUUGGUCUUUCGAAGAGGGUGUUGUUUAAUUAUUAGAGUUUACUAACAAAAGUUAACAUUUGAGGGCAAGGAAGAAAUAUUUUUUGAAAGAGGGCAAGAGAACUACUGAAUAGCAGUCUCUCAGGUAUCGUUUGGUUCGGGGAUAAGCAAAAAGUGACUAUUCAAAAAUAGUUAUAGUAAUUAAAUAUAACGGGGAUUAGAUCAAUUUUAUAGUUUGGAUGAAAAUUAGGCUAUUCCUGGAUUAAAAAAAUAAGCGUUUGGCUAGGUAAGAUGGAAUAGAGAAAGAUAUAGAGUUUUAUAAAUAAAAUAAUAAAAUAUCUUUCUUAUUAAUUUGAAUUUGAAUUUAAAAUUUUAAAUUUUUUAUUAAAUUAAAAUUUAACUUUGAAAUUCAAAAUUUGAAAUUUAAAUCUCAAAUUUAUAAAUAUUAAAUUUCAACAUUAUAAUUUAAGCUCAAUUUAAUUUGAAAUAUAAUUUAAAUUUAAAUUUCAAAAAAUUUAAAAUAUCAAAAUUUAAAUUUAAAAUUAAAAUUAUAAACUUUAAUUUUGAGAUUAUAAAUUAUAAUUUAGAAAAUUAAAUUUGUAAUUUUUAAAAUAGAAUAGGGGUGGGAACAAUUAAUAAAAAUAAUUUAUUAUAAUAAAUUUAUAAUUUUUUUUUAAAAUUAUACUUAAACUUAAAAUUUAAUAAAAAGAAUUUAUUAUAAUAUUUAAAUAUAAUUUAUUAUAAAUUUUAUUAUAAUAUUUAAAUAUAAAUAAUAUGUAUUAAUAUAGUACGAUUAAUAAUUUUAUAAUAAAAAUAUGGGUUAUUUGCAUACACGUCCCUACAAACAUAGCGAAUUGCGAAAAUAUCCCUGCAAAAUGAAAACUCCAUAAGUUGUCCCUGCAAAAGUCCUAAUUUAUGCAGAUAUGUCCCUCUGGUUAACAUCCGUUAGAGAACUGUUUAUUUUUUAACAGUUUUCUUAUGAAAUGACCAUUUUGCCCCCACAAAUAUAUCCCUCCAAAAUAUCGUUCUUUCCCUUCUCUUUCUCUCUCUUUGGGCCGCCGGAGCGGACGACGGCGGCGGCGCGAGAUCGGGUUCGCCGACGACGAAGAAGAGAGAAGAGAAAGAAUGAGAGGAAGAAGAAAAUAGAAGAGGGAGAGAGAGAGUGAGAGGGAGAGGGAGAGGGAAGAGAAAGAUGAAGAGGGAAAGGGUUUGCCGCCGCGCGCCGCCGCUGCAUUUCCUCCCUCGCCAGCGACGAAGAAGAGGGAAGAGAUAGAGGAAGAGGAAGAAGAAGGGCGAAGAGGAAGAGGGAAAGGAAGAGGAAGAGGGAGGGCUCGCGGCCGCAGCCGCAUCUUCUCCCUCCCCGGUGACGAAGAAGAGGGAAAAGGAAGAGGGAGAGGAAGAAAAAAGGGGAAGAGGAAGAGAGAAGAGGAAGAGGAAGAGGAAGAGGAAGAGGGAGAGGGAGAGGAUUUGCCGCGGCCGCCGCUGUCACUGCCGCCGCGGCCGCCGCCCUCGCCGACGACGAAGAAGAGGGAAGAAGAAGAGGAGGAAGAAGAAGAAGGGUAGAACCGUAAAUUCACGUUAUAAUUAACCAUGGUUAAGUAUUUUAACCGUGGUUAAUGAAAAUUUUCUAACAGUCCUUAACGGCAGGGACAUAUCUGCAUAACUUAAGACUUUUGUAGGGACAACUUAUGAAAUUUCCGUUUUGCAGGGAUAUUUCUGCAAUUCACUAUGUUUGCAGGGACGUGUAUGCAAAUAACCCUAAAAAUAAUAUACUAUAAUAUAUAACAUAUUAUAUUUAUAUAAUUUAGUUUUAAUUUAAUUUAUAAUUUUAAUUAAGUUUGAAAUUAAGCAUUGCAAUAGCAUUAUUCCACCAAAAUGGUGGAAUAGCAAAUCCUUUGCUAUUCCGGGAUAACCGGGAAUAGCAAGGUUUGACCGAGAUAAAAUAUCCCGGCCAAAUUUCACCCCGUUUGGCGGAAUAGCGGGGAUAACUUUCGUUAUUCCCGCUUAUCCCCCGAACCAAACGGGGCCGCAGGGUCUGGAUCCUUUGUAUAAAAUUUUUAGGUGAAACCUUUGGUGUCCGAAUCCUAAAAAUUGCUCUAUUACUCGCGUUGUUUCCCCAUCCUUCUUCCGUUUCCUUUCAUCAUCCCUUCCCAUCUCUCCUGUCUUCUCUCUCCCUCUACACCAUCCUCCCCCUUCCCAUCCACUUCUCUCCUUCCUCUCCCUCUACUCCGUCCUCUCUUCCUGUCGCCUCCGCUGCUUUCUCUCCCUCUACUACGUCGACCCUUCCCAUUCUCUCCCCUUAUCCCUCCCCCUCUACUCCCUCCGAUGACGACAAUGACGUUGGCACCAUCGACGCUGCCGCCGCUGCUGACGAGACAUUAAUGACGAUGACACCAAAUUGCCAAUGAUGAUGCUGCUGCCCGGCGAUGCCACUGAUGCUAUUGCUGUCGACGACGGUGACAACGGCACUCUUCCUAACGGUCAUGGUGGCAGGAGAAAUAAUAGAAAGAUGAAAGGAUUGGUGCAGCGGUGAGCGGCAAUGGCGGUGGCAAUAGUGUGCGAUGGUGGUGGAGAUGGAGUAAGGGAAUGAGGAGAAGAAGGAGACGAUCAACGCUGUUGCCUGAGGAGUCGUGGAGAAAGGGAUAGGGAAGGGGAGUCUCUUUGUGCGCAAGGGAUAGGGUGCUAUUUGGAUCUUGAUUGACAUUUUUUUUGUAUUUAAUAAUCAUUAUGGCAUGAACCUUCAUGGUCUUAGCCGGUGAAAAACUCAAGCGAUGAAUGAGUGCCAGGAAGACAAAAUUUGUGAUGUUUUCAAAUUUGUGAUGAAAUUUUUUAUGCUUUGAAAUUUGUGAUAAAGAAGAAGAUUACAGUUUGUGCUUAGUUAUGUUUAAAAUUUGUGGAAUGCUUCAAUACACCAUGUAAAAUAAAUCUAACCGUUCAUAUUUUAAGGGCGAGAUUGACUUUUGCAUAGUGGUUACCUGCUCAACAGGUUACCAUUCGUAAGGAUAAUAUGAAAAAAAAAUACAAACUAAUUACCAAAUUUGAUCAACCUUAUACAAAUAUUUGUUUCCUUGUUUAAUUUUGUUACUUACUAAAUUAGAUAGUGCUAAUUUGAUAAGUAAUAAACCUUUAUAAAUUGAAUUUAAAAUUCAAUUUGAGCUUAAACUUUAUAAUUGUGUACAUUAAAUUCAAAUUUAAUUUUAAUUUUUAUUUUCAGAAUGAAAAAAUUUAUGUUUAAAUGAAUAGUAUAUUUCAAUUCAAAUUGUUAAUUUGAUAUAUUAAAAUGACACGAAAUUUCAAAUAUAUUAAUUUAAUUUAAAUUAUAAAUUAUGCUGUAUUUAUAAACAUAACUUUUAUUUUUUAUUUAAAUUAAAGGCUUUUAUUUUUAAAAUUAAAUUCAAAUUGUUCAUUCGGUAGUAAAAACAACAUUAAAGUUUAAAAAUAUUGAUUAAAAUUAAAUUUUAAAUUUAGAUUUAGUUUAUAUUAUAGUUAAAAAAAUAAAAUUUGUUAACUAUUUAAACUAAAUGAUUCUAAAGCAAAAAAGGAAAAGAGAAGCGGCGAGGAAGAAGAAAUCGCGGCCUACGCAUAGGAAAAUAUCGCGGUCCACGAGGCUACACUCAGCCUCGUGGAUUGUGUGUAGUGAGAGGUCCACGGUGGACCUCUCGCUCCACUCCCCCUUUUUGUGUGUGUGUGUGUGUGUGUAUGUGUGUGUGUGUGUCUAUAUAGAGUGCGGCUAGUAUGCUUAUGGAAGCAUGGAGGCCUUCGUGCUUCCAAUUUGUUUUUGAUGUUGAGACUUUCGAAUCGAUGAUCGGCUCCGUUAGACUUGAUCUAGAGUAUUCGAAAUACCUAGAAAAUAAAUUUUGCGAUUUUUCAAUAUCAUUUUCCUAGUGAUCGAAGGGGCUCAAAAUCAACGGCUGAAAAUAAAAAUCUCACAAAAUGUGAUGAUAUGACAUUAAAAAUUUAGAUCAAAGAUAUUGAUCUUAUUUUAUAUAGUAUAAAGAAUUUUUUAUCAAAAUUUCACGUGAUUUGGAUAUUUCUACACCAUUAAACUUGCAACCGGCUCACCACAGUCAUUAAAAGUAUUGAUUUUGAGCCCCUUUGAUUACUAGGCAAAUGAUAUCAAAAAAUCGCAAAAUUUAUUUUCUAGGUACUUCAAAUACUCUAGAGUCAACUUCUAACGAGCCGAUCGUUCACGAUCUCGAAAGUCGAACAUCGAAAACCCAACUAGAAGCUACGAAGGCUCCGUCUUCAUAAGCAUUACCAGACAAUAUAUAUUAUAUUAUUAAUAUUAAUUAUAUAUAUAUAUAAUAUAUAUAUAUAUAUAUAUAUAUAUAUACUAUACUUAAUUAAGAGAGAGAGAUAGUCAGGAGAGAGAAGAAGAGAGAGAGAAGAAGAGUAAGUCUCUGUACUUUCUGAAGUACGAGGGACUCUCCUCAGUGUACGUUUUUUUCGAUGAUAGGAAUCGAUUUGACGAUGACUUCUGUUAAGUAUACGAUCUAUUCUAUUGAACUAUUUGAACAAAUUUUAUAAUUUUUUGACACAAUUUUACUAAGCGAUAAAAAUAUCUAAAAAAAUGCAUCUUUAAUAGGCGAUGGCACGUUUUUAAGUUAACAGGUGUAGAAGUAUCAAAUUAAUGAAAUUUAAUAAAAUUUCUUACUUAAACAUAAAUAGCAGAAAAACCGCCCCGAAUUUUACUUCCCGAUUUUGAAAUUGAGUCCUUUAAUCACUGUUUUUAUAAAUUUCAUUUUCAGCCAGUUCAUUUUGAGCACUCGUUUAUUUUAUUUAGACAAUCGAAGUAAAAAUUUAUGAAAUUGAUUUCUAGGUAGUAUUCCAACAGUUUAAUCAUAGUCUAAUAGAACCGACUCGCUCCGAAUCCAAUGUCCAAUUAUUGAAAAAACUAUAAGUAGGGAGCUUCCGUACUCUUCGAAAACAUAGGAGCCUAUUCUGCUCAAUCUUCUCUAUAUAAAUAUAAGUAGGUUUGUGUGUAUUAGGGGCAGAGGCCUCCGUGCAUCCUCAACCGUUUACGAUGAAAGCUUCACGAAUCGAACGAUACGAUCGAUAGAACUUGAUCUUAGCGUAUUGAACUACUAGAAAAUGAAUUUUGUGAUUUUUCAUCUUAAGUAUCAUUUUCCUAACUGGAUCAGAAAAGUCAAAAAUCACAAUUUUUAAUGGUUGAUGUAUACCGUUACAGUUAUCGUUAUAGAAUAUUGCAAAUAGAUUGAAAUUUUGAAAUAGAAAUUCUUAUACUAUUUACAUAGCAAGAUCAUAUGUUUAUCGAACAAAUUUAAUGCUAUAAUCAACAUCUUUUUUGUGAGAUUUUAUUUCAGCCGUUGAUUUUUGAACCUUUCGAUCAUGUAAUAAUGAAUCGAAAAGUCCAAAAUUUUUCUAGAUCUUCAACAUGCUAGAAUCACAGUCAACGAGCCGAUUGCGAAUUGAAGGACAUCAUUGAAAACAGCUUAGAGCACAAGAGAGAUCUCCGUGCUCUAAUAGGCAAUUCAAGACUACUCUCAUUCUCUCUCUCGCAGUUGUACUCGCCAGCCCCUGGGUAAGACUGGUGGCAUCGAUGCUAUACUAGAAAAAGAAUGUGCGAUCAUCUCGUCCAUCUCGUCUCUUUCAUCUCUCAUUAUAUAAUAUAUAUAUAUAUAUAUAUAAUAUAAUAUAUUUAUUUUUAUAUUUUGUAUAAAUUUAUAAUAGUUAUGCAUUAUAACAGCAUAAUCUUAAAAAAUAUUUAAUUAAAUAACAAAUUUUUAUUCCGAAUUUUUAAAUGAUAAACGUAAAAUUUUCGUAUAAAUCGCGUGUACGAAUUAUUGACGAAUCUAAUUCAAAUACGAUAAAAAUUCGAUGCGGAUAAAAUACGAAUAAAAUUCGUAUCUUAAUUUUUAAGUUCGUUGAAAAACACGGUUUAAAAAUUAGAUUCGUCAAUAAUUUGUACAUGCGAUUUAUACGAAAAAUUUACGUUUAUCAUUUAAAAAUUUAGAAUAAAAAUUCGUACCUUAAUUCUGCAAUCUCCUUUUUCAUUCCAGGCCACCAAUAGGUUAGCUUCAGAUCUUUGUACAUCUUUGUACUUCCAGGAUGUAGAGCAUAUGGCGCUCGAUGUGCUUCAGUAAGAAUUUCUUCUUUAAGGUUUGAAUCUGUAGGUACGCAUAGCCUAUUGCCGUAUCUCAAUAAUCCUUGAUUAUCCAUUUGAAAUUCACCAACGUACUCAUCAGUAAUCUUUGCACGAAUCCUUUAUAAAAAUUCAUCUUGAACUUGCUUUUCUCCAAUUUUAUCAAUUAAGGUAGGUUGUACAAUUAAUGACAUAAGUCGCCAAGGCGUGUCAGGAGUUACAACUUCCAGAUUCAACUGUUCCAUUUCCUUUACUAAAGGAGAUUGCGAGGUUAUUAACAUCGCCAAAUUUUUCGUCGAUUUUCGACUUAAAGCGUCUGCUACUACAUUGGCUUUCUCCGGGUGAUAAAGAAUAGUCAAAUCAUAAUUCUUGAACAACUCCAACCAUCUACGUUGUCUCAAGUUUAGCUCUUUCUUAGUAAACAGAUACUUCAAGCUUUUAUGAUCUGUGUAAACCUCGCACCGCCCACCGUAUAGGUAGUGACGCCAUAGGUUUAAAGCAAAGACUACUACUGCUAAUUCCAGAUCAUGUGUAGGGUAAUUCUUUUCAUAAUUCUUUAAUUGACGAGAUGCAUAAGUGAUUACCUUUUCAUUUUGCAUUAGAACACACCCUAAUCCAUUCAGAGAUGCAUCACUAUAAAUCACAUAAUCCACCCCAGUUAUUGGUAAUGCCAAGAUUGGAGCAGUAGUCAAUCGUUCCCUCAGUUCCUGGAAGCUUCUUUCGCAAACCUCAUUCCAUAAAAAUUUCGCCCCUUUAUGUGUAAGUCGAGUAAGCAGAGUAGACAUUUUAGCAAAUCCCUCCACAAAUCUUCAGUAGUACCCAGCUAGACCCAGAAAACUCCGAAUCUCGGCUACGCUGGUCGGUCUAGGCCAAUCUUUUAUUGCUUCGAUCUUCUUUGGAUCCACUGCAAUUCCAACUUCAGAAAUCACAUGUCCCAGAAAUGCUACUUCUUGAAGCCAAAAUUCACAUUUCUUUAAUUUCGCAAAAAGUUUCUUUUCCCGAAGAACUUGCAGUACCAAUCUCAGAUGGUUUUCAUGCUCCCCGUUACUUCGAGAAUAAAUCAAAAUAUCAUCAAUGAACACUACUACAAACCUGUCCAGAUAAGGCUUGAAAACACGGUUCAUUAAAUCCAUAAAAGUUGCCGGGGAAUUCGUUAAUCCAAAUGGCAUAACUGUAAAUUCAUAAUGCCCGUACCGAGUUCUAAAAGCAGUUUUAGAAAUGUCUUCAGGUUUAAUUUUCAAUUGAUGAUAUCCAGAUUGCAGAUCAAUCUUGGAAUACACUUUCGAUCCUUGGAGUUGGUCAAAUAAAUCGUCAUGCAAUUCGUGGUAGUGGGUACUUAUUCUUGAUGGUGACUUUGUUAAUUUUUCGAUAAUCCACGCACAAUCGCAGAGAUCCAUCCUUCUUCUUAACAAACAACACUGGUGCUCCCCAGGGCGAUACACUCUGUCGAAUAAAACCUUUAUCCAAAAGAUCCUGUAACUACGCCUUCAGCUCCUUCAACUUAGCAGGCGCCAUCCUAUACGAGGCUUUUGAGAUUGGGGUAGUUCCAGGAACAAGAUCUACCACAAACUCAACUUCCCUAUCAGGCGGUAUUCCAGGUAAUUCAGCCGGAAAUACAUCACGAAAUUCCCGCACUACUGGGAUGUCAUCAAUACUAGCAACUUCUCCGUCACUGACAGAAAUAUUAGCCAAAUAGGCUACACAACCCCUCCGUAUCAACUGUUGUGCUCGCGAAGAACUGAUUGUCAUUGCGAACAAUGAACUUUGACAUCCUCUGUAAACAAACUCCUGCUGACCCGAUUCCCUAAAGGUUACCAUUCUGUUCGUGCAAUCAAUAGUAGCAUAGUACUGUGUCAACCAAUCCAUAUCCAAUACUACAUCAAACUCACCUAGUUUGUAUAGUGCUAAUAAAUCCACUGGCAUAAUCCAGUCGCCUAUCCGAACUGGGCAGCGAGGGCAAUACUCACGAAUAUCCAAGGUAUGGUCGGGCACGAUCACUUGUCCCGGGUGCAAAGUAGUUACCAACAAAAUGCUAUGUAACUCAGCAAACAAUCGAUCAAUAAAAGAGUGCGAUGCACCAGUAUCAAAUAAUGCACGAACAUGAACAUUAUGAAUCGAAAUAAUAUCUGACACAACCUCCCCUGCUGCUGGGGCCUCCUUAGUCUGGGCAGCAUACAUACGCCCACUCGAACCCUGCCGAGAACUCUCAAACUACCGCGGUCCAGGUGGUCGUCUCGACUGAUACGGUACUGAUGGAGUCCCCUGACUCGGAGCAGAAGAUGCAGGUGCCGAUACUGAUGACGGUGCUGGUGUAGAAGCCCUCGGGCACUCAGAACGAAAAUGGCCCUCCUGGCCACAAAUGAAGCACCUGCCACUACAUUGAGGACACUGCGGUGGAAAAUGGGGGCCACUGCAGAUCACACAAUGCUGCGGUCGACGACGCUCUGGUGCUCUGCGGGGUGUAAAAGAACCUCGCCCCCUCGACUGACUCGGCAGGCCUCUCGUGUACUUUAGCGGCCUCCGGAAAGAUUGUUGUCCACUGUUCUCAGUCCUUGGCCUCUUUCCUUUACUUCGAUCCACAACUUCCCUUUCUUUCAUAAUCUCUACCCCCUUCUCAGCAAUCAAUGCCCGGUUUACCACCUCUCUAUAAGUCGAUAGAUUUGACGCCUGAACUAAUCUGAAGAUCGCAGGUCGCAAACCCACCUAAAAAAUACGGGCCUUAUCCUCAUCAUCUCGAACCACAAAAGGGACACAAUGCAAUAAUCGAGAAAACUCCCGCUCAUACUCAGCUACUGUCCUAUCCCCCUGCCUCAGAUUGCGCAGAUUCCUCUCCAUCUGUCUCUUCACACUCUAUGGAAAGUAGGUUGUUAACAGCAACUCCUUAAACCUCUUUCAAGUGAUCACAGAUAAAUCAGUACGGGGAUCCUCACGGAUAUCCAACUACCACCUGUAAGCCUCACCAUCCAGAUGGUGGGUCGCAAACCACACUUGGUCGCGCUCCUCGACGAAAGUAUCAUAGAAUAGCUUCUCCAUAUACAUCAGCCAUUUCUCAACUACCCAAUGAUCUGCCUUUUCCCCAUCGAAAACACGAGGAUUGUAACGAGGGAAUUCAUUGAGACGUUCCAUCAUCUGUUCUCGCUCCUCAGCCCCCACCAUCUCAGGUAAUAUUGCCCCUGCCAUAGCCACGGGCGCUGGGGGUAGUACCACUGUCUCCUGUCGGGUCUCCACCCGCGGAACUGCCGGUGAGGUGUCUGGUGCUGGUGACUGUGCUCUCAUAGUCGUAUCCCUCUCUGGUACUGCUGGCGUAGGAUCUAGAAUCUCUCUAUCUGUUGUCUGCCGCAGUAGCAAAUCCUCUAACCUCUUCAUUCUCUCCUCCUGUCGGCGCGCGGCAUCCAUCUGUUGUCGCGCUGCUGCAGCCUGUUGUGUCACUAAAUCUGUUAACACUGCAAGCUGGUCCUGCAGCUCCCAAACCUCACUCGAUCCGGAAGUAGCGGAAGUCCCCACUUCCUCUGCAUCAGCGGCUUCAGCCGCUCCAGCAACCAUAGAACAAGUCGUAGGCAUCUUAAACUGCAACAAAAGUAAACAUGGAUUAAUAAAACUUACACUAUUGAACCCCCACUUCUUAUAUUAAACACCCAUUUAAGCGAAAGUAAUGAAAUGUAAUACACACUAACUCCCGAUGUCACGUUGUCGGCCACCAACGUGGCCUUCUGCGAAGUUUAGUAAUUGCACAUUUCAAUCAAACUCCUACCAUUCGGAGUUUAUAAAUUACCCCAAUCAAAAUACUUUUCCUAAAAAGAAACUUAACUAGACCUCGUCCCUCACGAGCCUAUUCUUAUAGUCCAACCAGCCUAAGGUUCGCUAGGUCCACUAAGACUCAACCCUAAGCUCUAAUACCACUAUAAUUUGUCACGCCUGGGUAACAGCGGAAGCCUACCCGGCACAUGUACAGACCCGCCAUACACCUACAGUAUAUAAGGCGUCUAAAAGAAACAUAUCGGAAAAGAGAAAACAUAAGAGAAUCUUAACCCGAUAUCAGAGCAAAGUAUAAGUUGCUAGUACAACAAUCAGAAAACAGUAAGUAUAACUAACUCAGAUUCUCAAAUUCACAGAAAACAUCGAAACUGAACUCCAGAUUCAAAGUACAAAUAUAUCACAGGGUACACAAAAUGUAUAUACAAUGGUAGUCUCUCUAUCCAUGGGGACAUCACCCUCGGCCGUAGCCCGAGUAGCAAGGUGAUCAUCUAGUCACACUCCAAGCUAGAUCUAACUAGACGAGACUCCCUUGCCACGAUCCCUAGCCUCUCCGCGUGUACGUAUAAACCGUGUUUUCCAAUUCCUCAGAUUUUGUUCUCUUCUUUUUUUUCUUUUUCUUUUUUUUGACUGAGAGAAAUAAAAAAAAAACUCUUUUUUUUUUGUUCUUUUCUUUUCUUUUCUUUUCUUUUCUUUUUUUUUGUUGAUUCUUUUUUUCUCCUGUUUGUUUUCUUCUUCUUUUUUUUGACUUCCGAGAGAGAGAGUCCGUGUGUAUGCGAAACCGAGAGAGAGGGAGAGUUGGUACCCAACAACUCUUUUUUUUUUGUNUGUUCUCUUCUUUUUUUUCUUUUUCUUUUUUUUGAGAGAGAGAAAUUUGGGAAAAACUCAACUUCUUCUUUUCUUUUUUUUUCUUUUUUUUCUUUUUUUUUUUGUUUGCUGUUGAUUUUUUUCUCCUGUUUGUUUUCUUCUUCUUUUUUUUGACUUCCGAGAGAGAGAGUCCGUGUGUAUGCGAAACCGAGAGAGAGGGAGAGUUGGUACCCAACAACUCUUUUUUUUUUGUUUCCUUCUUUUCUUUCUUCUCUUUUCUUUUCUUCUUGCUUUUUUUGUUGACUGUCGGAGGGGGAGAGAGAAUAACUCCUUUUUUUUAAUUAUUUUUAUAUUCAUCUCUCUUUUUUUUUAGUCCAAAUAUACGAAAUUGAUCACGUCGAGUAAUACGAUUGAAUCGAACAAAAAUGACGAAUCAAAAUAGAACCUGUCCAUUUUUUUUAUUGUCAUGUUUUGUUCAAAUACGUGGAGUUUAAUUGUGUCGAGCCUAUCAUGAAGAUGGCCGCUCGAUUAAUCUUUUCGACCAUGUCGAGCCUAUCACGAAGAUGGCCGCACGGUUUACGUAAUCCGGUUCGAUCAAUUAUUUUGACCAUGUCGAGCCUAUCACGAAGAUGGCCGCACGGUUCACGCUUUCGACCAUGUCGAGUCUAUCACGAAGAUGGCCGCACGGUUUACGUAAUAAAACGUCCGGUUCGAUCAAUCAUUUUGACCAUGUCGAGCCUAUCACGAAGAUGACCGCACGGUUUGGAGAGUAACAAUACAUACGCAUGGCGGAAGUGACGAUUUGAUAUCAGAUUUGAUCGGUUCGAAACCUAUCACGAAGAUGGUCGAGUUGAUCAAACCAACAAAAAGAUCGCAUUUACGCUAUGCGUAUGCUUGCGUAUUUCCUAUUAUUAUAAAAAUCGUUGCGAUUGUCGA